AUCCUUUCGGUUCAUGCAAAUGAUGAACGGGUUAAUCACGGACUAUCUGUGAAAUGUACUGCCUUAUUCUUGUUACGCAUUGUACAUUACCCUUCUGAUC